UUUUCCGGGUUGAUCCCGCCGGAAGGUCAUUGCUAUUGGGGUCCGAUUUAGCCAUGCUAGUUGCACGAGCUUACACUCGUGGCGAAAAGCUCAGUAACACGUGGUCAAACUACCCUACAGAGAACGAUAACCUCGGGAAACUGAGGCUAAUAGUUUCAUACGGGAGUCAUGCUUGAAUGCCGACUCCCCGAAACGCUCCGGCGCUGUAGGAUGUGACUGCGGCCGAUUAGGUAGACGGUGGGGUAACGGCCCACCGUGCCGAUAAUCGGUACGGGUUGUGAGAGCAAGAACCCGGAGACGGAAUCUGAGACAAGAUUCCGGGCCCUACGGGGCGCAGCAGGCGCGAAACCUUUACACUGCACGCAAGUGCGAUAAGGGGACCCCAAGUGCGAGGGCAUAUAGUCCUCGCUUUUCUCGACUGUAAGGCGGUCGAGGAAUAAGAGCUGGGCAAGACCGGUGCCAGCCGCCGCGGUAAUACCGGCAGCUCAAGUGAUGACCGAUAUUAUUGGGCCUAAAGCGUCCGUAGCCGGCCAUGAAGGUUCAUCGGGAAAUCCGCCAGCUCAACUGGCGGGCGUCCGGUGAAAACCACAUGGCUUGGGACCGGAAGGCUCGAGGGGUACGUCCGGGGUAGGAGUGAAAUCCCGUAAUCCUGGACGGACCACCGAUGGCGAAAGCACCUCGAGAAGACGGAUCCGACGGUGAGGGACGAAAGCUAGGGUCUCGAACCGGAUUAGAUACCCGGGUAGUCCUAGCUGUAAACGAUGCUCGCUAGGUGUGGCACAGGCUACGAGCCUGUGCUGUGCCGUAGGGAAGCCGUGAAGCGAGCCGCCUGGGAAGUACGUCCGCAAGGAUGAAACUAAAGGAAUGGCGGGAGCACUACAGCUGAGG
rnacentral:rRNA from 1 species